UAGUAACUGCGAGUGAAGCGGGAUGAGCUCAAAUUUAAAAUCUGGCGUCUUCGGCGUCCGAGUUGUAAUUUAGAGAAGCGUUUUCCGCGCCGGACCGUGUACAAGUCUCCUGGAACGGAGCGUCAUAGAGGGUGAGAAUCCCGUCUUUGACACGGACCCCCGGUGCUCUGUGAUACGCUCUCGAAGAGUCGAGUUGUUUGGGAAUGCAGCUCAAAAUGGGUGGUGAACUCCAUCUAAAGCUAAAUAUUGGCGAGAGACCGAUAGCGAACAAGUACCGUGAGGGAAAGAUGAAAAGCACUUUGGAAAGAGAGUGAAACAGUACGUGAAAUUGUUGAAAGGGAAACGCUUGAAGUCAGUCGCGUCCGCCGGGAUUCAGCCUUCGGGUGUACUUUCCGGUGGACGGGCCAGCAUCACUUUCAAUCAUCGGACAAGGUCGAGAGGAAUGUGGCACCUUCGGGUGUGUUAUAGCCUCUUGUCGUAUACGGUGACUGGGAGUGAGGACCGCCUUUGUAGGAUGCUGGCGUAAUGGCUUUAAACGACCCGUCUUGAAACACGGACCAAGGAGUCUAACAUGCCCGCGAGUGUUUGGGUGGAAAACCCAUGCGCGUAAUGAAAGUGAAAGUUGGGAAGGCUGUCGCGGCCUGCACCGACG
rnacentral:rRNA from 1 species